AUUGAAAUCCGACCCCUCGCCUUGCGGGGGAGCGGCUUCCUUUUACCGUUUUAUUUUUUGGUUGCUUGGUUGUUAAGUUAAGAAUCCUAACCGAUCGCUACAAUGAUCUAAAUUGAACGCGAGAUUUUCGCAUGCAGAUCGGAUCACGGAUAGCUAUCGGUUCGCGGACUCAGCCCUAUAUAAGGCGUCUGGCAGCCAGCAUCAAACUCAUCCCAAUUUUCGCUUCUGCUCACAAUUGUGCCGCCAUCUUCAUCCCGACCGCCGACGUGCAUAUGAGAUCGGGAGAGCAGGUCUCCGGAACCCUUCGCCUUCGAGAUCCUGCACCGGGAGAGGGCGAAUAAGGUUUUUGGAAAGCGUCCUCACGCGACUGCUCGCGAUCUUGUCGUCGAACCCUGCAGCUUCGACGCCAUCGGCCCCGCUGCUUCGACGUCGUCGACCCUGCUGAUUUCGGUCCGCGUCAUCUAUCAGCACUUGGUUUUCUCCCACGUUCUUUGCGAAGCUAACGAGGCGCGCGGCGACAAGGACUUCUCCGAUGUAGGCAAGGCUGAGUGCAAGGGCAGUGCUCCAGGACGAAGGGGGUGUGGGUGGUGUCACUGCUGUGAAGUCCGUAGCGGAGCGCGGAGCUAGCGUUGGCCACCAUCGUCGCCUUGUGUUGUAGGUUCAUUCACAGCCGCAGAAGAAGCCUCGCUUCGUGGAAAGGCAACCUUCGACUGCCCGAUGAAGACCUAUGGCUUCCUCAUGCCUGAAUUCUGGAGCCAUACUAAGUUUUCCAUGACUCCGUUCCAGCAAUACACGGACCUGGUAGUGAAGGCUACCAAGGGUCUUGUGCUUUAGGCCUGAACUAAGACAGUAGAGCCUUAUGAUGGGUUGAUGUGUCUAAAUGCACUUUCUUAUAUUUAAGAACUGUGGGAGUCAACUUUGGACCCUGUUUGCUGGUCGCUUCGAUGAUUUUGCCUUUUGGUAAGCAACAUCCACUAGAGAAUGACCUUUUUUGGUUUCUUCCCUCUAUCUCUUUCCUACAAGAGAAUCUUCUAUGCUUAGAACUGAAUGCAGUGAUCAAUACAUGUAUUUGUUUCGAAGCUUGUAUUUCCUUCACUAUGUAGGGGCUUAUACACCAAGUGUACACACCUAUUUAUAUAUUGGUUCAUGGAUCAUAUGUGAUUCAUGAUAUAAC